AACCUGCUCAAUGAAAUAUAUAAAUAGCCGCAGAAUUCUGUGCUAAGGUAGCAUAAUCACUAGCUUUCUAAUUAAAAGAUAGAAUGAAUGGUUAAACGAAAUUUUAUCUGUUUCUUUUAUUUAAAAUUAAUUUAAAAUAAUAGUAAAAAUUCUACUAAUUUUAAGAAAGACGAUAAGACCCUAUAAACUUAUAUAUUUAGCUGGGGCGGCAAAAUAAAAAAACCUUAAUAAAUAUAAGACACAAAACAAAUUAAAUCUAUAUAGAAAAAGUUACUAUAGGGAUAACAGCGCUACUAUUUUCUAAAGCUCUUAUAUAAAAAAUUCCUACGACCUCGAUGUUGAAUUAUUAUCCUUAAUUAAUGCAAAAAUUAUUACAAAGGUAGUCUGUUCGACUAUUAAAUAUAU
rnacentral:rRNA from 1 species